GCUCUAACCCACCAGCCCCCACACCCCUUCCAGAACCGGGGAGAGAACCCAGGAGUCCUGGCUCCCACCCCCAUGCUCUGACCCACCAGCCCCCACACCCCUUCCAGAACCGGGGAGAGAACCCAGGAGUCCUGGCUCCCAGCCCCCCCUGCUCUAACCCACCAGCCCCCACUGCCCUCCCAGUGCCGGGGAGAGAACCCAGGAGUCCUGGCUCCCAGCCCCCCCUGCUCUAACCCACCACCCCCACUGCCCUCCCAGUGCCGGGGAGAGAACCCAGGAGUCCUGGCUCCCAGUCCCUCUGCUCUAACCCACCACCCCCACUGCCCUCCCAGUGCCGGGGAGAGAACCCAGGAGUCCUGGCUCCCAGUCCCCCUGCUCUAACCCACCAGCC